GAUGAACGCUGGCGGCGUGCCUAAUACAUGCAAGUCGAGCGAAUGGAUUAAGAGCUUGCUCUUAUGAAGUUAGCGGCGGACGGGUGAGUAACACGUGGGUGACCUGCCCAUAAGACUGGGAUAACUCCGGGAAACCGGGGCUAAUACCGGAUAACAUUUUGAACCGCAUGGUUCGAAAUUGAAAGGCGGCUUCGGCUGUCACUUAUGGAUGGACCCGCGUCGCAUUAGCUAGUUGGUGAGGUAACGGCUCACCAAGGCAACGAUGCGUAGCCGACCGGAGAGGGUGAUCGGCCACAAUGGGACUGAGACACGGCCCAGACUCCUACGGGAGGCAGCAGUAGGGAAUCUUCCGCAAUGGACGAAAGUCGGACGGAGCAACGCCGCGUGAGUGAUGAAGGCUUUCGGGUCGUAAAACUCUGUUGUUAGGGAAGAACAAGUGCUAGUUGAAUAAGCUGGCACCUUGACGGUACCUAACCAGAAAGCCACGGCUAACUACGUGCCAGCCGCCGCCGUAA
rnacentral:rRNA from 1 species